rnacentral:lncRNA from 1 species
GCUUGUCACCUGUCUUUCUUCACGCAACAAUUCAUCUUGGGCAUUGUCCCCUGAUAGGUUUAAAAUUUGCUCAUUUUCUCUUUAUUAUGGCAAAAUCCUCCACAAUGUGAGGACAUGGGGAUUUAAUGAACAGACGGCCUUCCAUGAACAAUGAAGUCGUCUUCAUGCCUUUCCCUGGGGUUCCAGAAGAACCAGAGGAGCGAGCUCAUGCAUAUUGUACCAGCCCCUUGCAUCCCUGAUUCCAUCGGAGGUUUCCAUGGCAACCGCCUGAGCUCCUAGACCUGUCCUCGAG